rnacentral:rRNA from 1 species
GACGAACGCUGGCGGCGUGCUUAACACAUGCAAGUCGAGCGGAAAGGCCUUUUGGGGUACUCGAGCGGCGAACGGGUGAGUAACACGUGAGUAAUCUGCCCAUCACUCUGGGAUAGCCAUCGGAAACGGUGAUUAAUACUGGAUAUGAGAUCUGGCCGCAUGGUUGGGUUUGGAAAGUUUUUCGGUGAUGGAUGUGCUCGCGGCCUAUCAGCUUGUUGGUGGGGUAANGGCCUACCAAGGCUUCGACGGGUAGCCGGCCUGAGAGGGUGACCGGCCACACUGGGACUGAGACACGGCCCAGACUCCUACGGGAGGCAGCAGUGGGGAAUAUUGGACAAUGGGCGGAAGCCUGAUCCAGCAACGCCGCGUGA